GCAGGCGGUGGCGAGUGGAUAUCUCCAGCGCAUUUGGAUAAUGUGACAGUUGGAAUGCAGUGAUGUCAACUCUUUGCCCACCGCCAUCUCCAGCUGUUGCCAAGACAGAGAUUGCUUUAAGUGGCGAAUCACCUUUAUUAGCAGCUACUUUUGCUUACUGGGACAAUAUUCUUGGUCCUAGAGUAAGGCACAUUUGGGCUCCAAAGACAGAACAGGUACUUCUCAGUGAUGGAGAAAUAACUUUUCUUGCCAACCACACUCUAAAUGGAGAAAUCCUUCGAAAUGCAGAGUGUGGUGCUAUAGAUGUAAAGUUUUUUGUCUUAUCUGAAAAGGGAGUGAUUAUUGUUUCAUUAAUCUUUGAUGGAAACUGGAAUGGGGAUCGCAGCACAUAUGGACUAUCAAUUAUACUUCCACAGACAGAACUUAGUUUCUACCUCCCACUUCAUAGAGUGUGUGUUGAUAGAUUAACACAUAUAAUCCGGAAAGGAAGAAUAUGGAUGCAUAAGGAAAGACAAGAAAAUGUCCAGAAGAUUAUCUUAGAAGGCACAGAGAGAAUGGAAGAUCAGGGUCAGAGUAUUAUUCCAAUGCUUACUGGAGAAGUGAUUCCUGUAAUGGAACUGCUUUCAUCUAUGAAAUCACACAGUGUUCCUGAAGAAAUAGAUAUAGCUGAUACAGUACUCAAUGAUGAUGAUAUUGGUGACAGUUGUCAUGAAGGCUUUCUUCUCAAUGCCAUCAGCUCACACUUGCAAACCUGUGGCUGUUCCGUUGUAGUAGGUAGCAGUGCAGAGAAAGUAAAUAAGGUAGUUUAUUUUAUAAUCUAGCAAAUGAUUUGACUCUUUAAGAUUGAUGAUAUAUCAUGGAUUGUCAUUUAAAUGGUAGGUUGCAAUUAAAAUGCUCUAGUAGUAUAAGGAGGCAAUGUAAUCUCAUCAAAUUGCUAAGACACCUUGUGGCAACAGUGAGUUUGAAAUAAACUGAAUAGGAAUCAUUUAUCAGUUUCUUUUGAUAGCUCGUAAAUACCAGUGUCAGUUGUGUAUAAAUGGUUUUGAGAAUAUAUUAAAAUCAGAUAUUUAAAAAAAAUUACUCUUCUAUUUCCCAGUGUUACCUUUAACAAAUCUGAAGGUAGUCAUGUACUUUUGGUAGUAGUUCCAAAGAAAUGUUAUUUGUUUAUUCAUCUUGAUUUCAUUGUCUUGGCUUUCCUUCUAAAUCUGUCCCUUCUAGGGAGCUAUUGGGAUUAAGUGGUCAUUGAUGAUUAUACUUUAUUCAGUAAUGUUUCUGACGCUUUCCUUCAGUGCUACUUGAGUUAAUUAAGGAUUAAUGAACAGUUACAUUUCCAAGCAUUAGCUAAUAAAGUAAAGGAUUUUGCACUUUUCUUCACUGACCAUUAGUUAGAAAGAGUUCAGAGAUAAGUAUGUGUAUCUUUCAAUUUCAGCAAACCUAAUUUUUUAAAAAAAGUUUUACAUAGGAAAUAUGUUGGAAAUGAUACUUUACAAAGAUAUUCAUAAUUUUUUUUUUGUAAUCAGCUACUUUGUAUAUUCACAUGAGCCUUAAUUUAUAUUUCUCAUAUAACCAUUUAUGAGAGCUUAGUAUACCUCUGUCAUUAUAUUGCAUCUACGGACUAGUGACCUUAUUCCUUCUGUUACCUCAAACAGGUGGCUUUCCAUCUGUGAUCUCCAAAGCCUUAGGUUGCACAGAGGGACUGCCGAGCUGCUUUAUGAAGGGAGAAAGGCUCCAUAGUUGGAGUUGUUUUUUUGUUUUUUGUUUUUUGAACAUUUUUCCCAUCCUCCAUCCUCUUGAGGGAGAAUAGCUUACCUUUUAUCUUGUUUUAAUUUGAGAAAGAAGUUGCCACCACUCUAGGUUGAAAACUACUCCUUUAACAUAAUAACUGUGGAUAUGGUUUGAAUUUCAAGAUAGUUACAUGCCUUUUUAUUUUUCCUAAUAGAGCUGUAGGUCAAAUAUUAUUAGAAUCAGAUUUCUAAACCCCACCCAAUGACCUGCUUAUUUUAAAUCAAAUUCAAUAAUUAAUUCUCUUCUUAUUGGAGGAUCUGGACAUUCUUUGAUAUUUCUUACAACGAAUUUCAUGUGUAGACCCACUAAACAGAAGCUAUAAAAGUUCCAUGGUCAAAUAAGUCUGAGAAAGUCUGCAUAUGAUAUAAUUCACCUGAAGAGUCACAGUAUGUAGCCAAAUGUUAAAGGUUUUGAGAUGCCAUACAGUAAAUUUACCAAGCAUUUUCUAAAUUUAUUUGACCACAGAAUCCCUAUUUUAAGCAACAACUGUUACAUCCCAUGGAUUCCAGGUGACUAAAGAAUACUUAUUUCUUAGGAUAUGUUUUAUUGAUAAUAACAGUUAAAAUUUCAGAUAUCUUUCAUAAGCAAAUCAGUGGUCUUUUUACUUCAUAUUUUAAUGCUAAAAUAUUUUCUUUUAUAGAUAGUCAGAACAUUAUGCCUUUUUCUGACUCCAGCAGAGAGAAAAUGCUCCAGGUUAUGUGAAGCAGAAUCAUCAUUUAAAUAUGAGUCAGGGCUCUUUGUACAAGGCCUGCUAAAGGAUUCAACUGGAAGCUUUGUGCUGCCUUUCCGGCAAGUCAUGUAUGCUCCAUAUCCCACCACACACAUAGAUGUGGAUGUCAAUACUGUGAAGCAGAUGCCACCCUGUCAUGAACAUAUUUAUAAUCAGCGUAGAUACAUGAGAUCCGAGCUGACAGCCUUCUGGAGAGCCACUUCAGAAGAAGACAUGGCUCAGGAUACGAUCAUCUACACUGACGAAAGCUUUACUCCUGAUUUGAAUAUUUUUCAAGAUGUCUUACACAGAGACACUCUAGUGAAAGCCUUCCUGGAUCAGGUCUUUCAGCUGAAACCUGGCUUAUCUCUCAGAAGUACUUUCCUUGCACAGUUUCUACUUGUCCUUCACAGAAAAGCCUUGACGCUAAUAAAAUAUAUAGAAGACGAUACGCAGAAGGGAAAAAAGCCCUUUAAAUCUCUUCGGAACCUGAAGAUAGACCUUGAUUUAACAGCAGAGGGCGAUCUUAACAUAAUAAUGGCUCUGGCUGAGAAAAUUAAACCAGGCCUACACUCUUUUAUCUUUGGAAGACCUUUCUACACUAGUGUGCAAGAACGAGAUGUUCUAAUGACUUUUUAAAUGUGUAACUUAAUAAGCCUAUUCCAUCACAAUCAUGAUCGCUGGUAAAGUAGCUCAGUGGUGUGGGGAAACGUUCCCCUGGAUCAUACUCCAGAGUUCUGCUCUCAGCAAUUGCAGUUAAGUAAGUUACACUACAGUUCUCACAAGAGCCUGUGAGGGGAUGUCAGGUGCAUCAUUACAUUGGAUGUCUCUUUUCCUAGAUUUAUGCUUUUGGGAUACAGACCUAUGUUUACAAUAUAAUAAAUAUUAUUGCUAUCUUUUAAAGAUAUAAUAAUAGGAUGUAAACUUGACCACAACUACUGUUUUUUGAAAUACAUGAUUCAUGGUUUACAUGUGUCAAGGUGAAAUCUGAGUUGGCUUUUACAGAUAGUUGACUUUCUAUCUUUUGGCAUUCUUUGGUGUGUAGAAUUACUGUAAUACUUCUGCAAUCAACUGAAAACUAGAGCCUUUAAAUGAUUUCAAUUCCACAGAAAGAAAGUGAGCUUGAACAUAGGAUGAGCUUUAGAAAGAAAAUUGAUCAAGCAGAUGUUUAAUUGGAAUUGAUUAUUAGAUCCUACUUUGUGGAUUUAGUCCCUGGGAUUCAGUCUGUAGAAAUGUCUAAUAGUUCUCUAUAGUCCUUGUUCCUGGUGAACCACAGUUAGGGUGUUUUGUUUGUUUUAUUGUUCUUGCUAUUGUUGAUAUUCUAUGUAGUUGAGCUCUGUAAAAGGAAAUUGUAUUUUAUGUUUUAGUAGUUGUUGCCAACUUUUUAAAUUAAUUUUCAUUAUUUUUGAGCCAAAUUGAAAUGCGCACCUCCUGUGCCUUUUUUCUCCUUGGAAAAUCUAAUUACUUGGAACAAGUUCAGAUUUCACUGGUCAGUCAUUUUCAUCUUGUUUUCUUCUUGCCAAGUCUUACCAUGUACCUGCUUUGGCAGUCAUUGCAAUUCUGAGAUUAUAAAAUGCAUUAGAGAAUAUACUAACUAAUAAGAUCUUUUUUUCAGAAACAGAAAAUAGUUCCUUGAGUACUUCCUUCUUGCAUUUCUGCCUAUGUUUUUGAAGUUGUUGCUGUUUGCCUGCAAUAGGCUGUAAGGAAUAGCAGGAGAAAUUUUACUGAAGUGCUGUUUUUCUAGGUGCUACUUUGGCAGAGCUAAGUUGUCUUUUGUUUUCUUAAUGCGUUUGGACCAUUUUGCUGGCUAUAAAAUAACUGAUUAAUAUAAUUCUAACACAAUAUUGACAUUGUAGUUACACAAACACAAAUAAAUAUUUUAUUUAAAAUUCUGGAAGUAACAUAAAAGGGAAAAUAUAUUUAUAAGAAAGGGAUAAAGGUAAUAGAGCCCUUCUGCCCCCCACCACCAAAUUUACACAACAAAAUGACAUGUUCGAAUGUGAAAGGUCAUAAUAGCUUUCCCAUCAUGAAUCAGAAAGAUGUGGACAGCUUGAUGUUUUAGACAACCACUGAACUAGAUGACUGUUGUACUGUAGCUCAGUCAUUUAAAAAAUAUAUAAAUACUACCUUGUAGUGUCCCAUACUAUGUUUUUUACAUGGUAGAUUCUUAUUUAAGUGCUAACUGGUUAUUUUCUUUGGCUGGUUUAUUGUACUGUUAUACAGAAUGUAAGUUGUACAGUGAAAUAAGUUAUUAAAGCAUGUGUGAACAUUGUUAUAUAUCUUUUCUCCUAAAUGGAGAAUUUUGAAUAAAAUAUAUU
rnacentral:sRNA from 1 species